AGCAGCCGCGGUAAUUCCAGCUCCAAUAGCGUAUAUUAAAGUUGUUGCAGUUAAAAAGCUCGUAGUUGAAUUUUGGGUUUGGCCGAUUGGUCCGUUCUUGUAACGAGUACUGGUCGGUUGGGCCUCACCGCCUGGUGAUGCGUAAUGCCCUUUAUUGGGUGUUGCGAGUAGUCAGGACCUUUACCUUGAAAAAAUUAGAGUAGUUUAAAGCAGGCUUAUGCCGGAAUACAUUAGCAUGGAAUAAUAGAAUAGGACGAUGAUUCUAUUUUGUUGGUUUCUAGGAGCAUCGUAAUGAUUAAUAGGGAUAGUUGGGGGCAUUAGUAUUCAAUUGUCAGAGGUGAAAUUCUUGGAUUUAUUGAAGACUAACUACUGCGAAAGCAUUUGCCAAGGAUGUUUUCAUUAAUCAAGAACGAAAGUUAGGGGAUCGAAGACGAUCAGAUACCGUCGUAGUCUUAACCAUAAACUAUGCCGACUAGGGAUCGGGCGAUGUUGUUUCAAUGACUCGCUCGACACCUUAUGG
rnacentral:rRNA from 1 species